GACGAACGCUGGCGGCGUGCUUAACACAUGCAAGUCGAACGGAAAGGCCCUGCUUUUGUGGGGUGCUCGAGUGGCGAACGGGUGAGUAACACGUGAGUAACCUGCCCUUGACUUUGGGAUAACUUCAGGAAACUGGGGCUAAUACCGGAUAGGAGCUCCUGCUGCAUGGUGGGGGUUGGAAAGUUUCGGCGGUUGGGGAUGGACUCGCGGCUUAUCAGCUUGUUGGUGGGGUAGUGGCUCACCAAGGCUUUGACGGGUAGCCGGCCUGAGAGGGUGACCGGCCACAUUGGGACUGAGAUACGGCCCAGACUCCUACGGGAGGCAGCAGUGGGGAAUAUUGCACAAUGGGCGGAAGCCUGAUGCAGCAACGCCGCGUGCGGGAUGACGGCCUUCGGGUUGUAUACCGCUUUCGCCUGUGACGAAGCGUGAGUGACGGUAAUGGGUAAAGAAGCACCGGCUAACUACGUG
rnacentral:rRNA from 1 species